rnacentral:rRNA from 1 species
UACGGAGGGGACUAGCGUUGUUCGGAAUUACUGGGCGUAAAGCGCACGUAGGCGGAUUUGUAAGUCAGGGGUGAAAUCCCGGGGCUCAACCUCGGAACUGCCCUUUGAUACUGCAAAUCUCGAGUCCGGAAGAGGUGAGUGGAAUUCCUAGUCGUAGAGGUGAAAUUCGUAGAUAUUAGGAAGAACACCAGUGGCGAAGGCGGCUCACUGGUCCGGUACUGACGCUGAGGUGCGAAAGCGUGGGGAGCAAACAGGG